rnacentral:tRNA from 1 species
GCUCCAGUGGUGCAAUUGGUGAGCACAUGGUACUUAUAAGGCAGUACUAAAAACCUUUGGAGCUAUACCAAGGUUGUGAGUUCAAGCCUCACCUGGAGCA